AGAACUUAAAACACUCAUGAAUGAACUAUCAAACUUUAGUGGAUGCAAGAUUCAAAAAGGUGUUACCGAUAAUUACAUGAAAAUGAACCAAUGAGCUAGCUGGUUUUGACAAAGGAAGUCUUCCAUACGUAGUACUUAUCUGGCUAACUGAAUACCAAAAGAUGAAAAUGAUCGAUCGCUGACCAGAUACGAACCAACCAACUCGUAGCAGUCUGUCUCUAGUGAAUCCUCGAAAAAUUACCCUGGGCGAAGAUCACUGCAUCCCUUAGUGCAACGCCUCCAUGCUGAGGUUCAGAAACGACCUUAUACACUUUGCACAACCACUAUAUUGAUUCACAUCAAGUGGUUGAUCUAGGGCCUCUGCAUCCUCACUACUCCAUGUUGUGGGAUAGUGUACACACAAACUUCAAUUUGCAGAACAACAUGACAUCUUAAACAAAUAGAUGUGUCAUAGCAGUUUUAUGCACAUGAGCAACUUGAUUGCAGAACUAAGAUGCCCAUAACAGAGAGGUGCGGUCUGUAAGAACAUCUUGGAAUUAUGAGCAUCAGCAAGCCACUCCUUUAUCUAUUUUGUAGCAUGCUAGUUCUUGACCAAGCCUGGGAAAAAGGAAAUCAGAAUAGUAGAUUGGAAGAAGCAAAUCCCGAAUAGGACGAACAAGUUCAGAAAAGAACUGUAGAAUCAUGAGCAAAUCUGAAAAAGAGCACCAGAUGGUCAGGACUCAGAUAUGAGCAGGCACAUCAUGAAAUAAAUUCAAAAUAGCUGACGACUGGAACAAGCAAAAAAAAUCUUAGUUUAGGAAAAUAACUUGAUUUUAUUUAAGUUAUCAAUCACUACAUGUGUCUGUUCGAGAUAAUUGAUCAGAAUGUCACGGAUUAGGGAUUUUAUUGACUAUAGCAAACAUGCCCGUGCGUUGCAAUGGGAGAAAAAAAUGCUACACGUCCCUAGUGCAAUAAGCAUAGCUCCAUUUUUUUAUGAAUGACCUUCUUUACACAAUCUACUAAUUAUGUUUGCCCUUAGAAAGAUAUCAUAAAUAAAAAGUGAAGCAAUUACCAUGUUACUGUGGAGUUAGGGGACAUGCAACCAGAGUACAAUUAGAUCGGCUGGUAGUAUCUCCACAAUCCUGAGCUCAACGGACAUAAAAACUACUCCCUCCGUUCUAUAUUAGUUGUCUCUGAAAUGGAUGUAUCUAGACGUAUUUCAGUGCUAGAUACAUCCGUUUGAGCGACAACUAAUAUGGAACGGAGGGAGUACAAAUUUCUAUAAGAAAUGACUAAAAACCGAGGACAUGUACUUCAUGAUGAGCAGUUUAAUUAAUGGUAGUUACUCCCUCCAUCCGGGUUUAUUAGGCCUAAAGACAACUUCUCUUCGACCAAGACACAUAGUAAUUUGCUCACAUUAUUUCUUCCAUUCCACUCCCAAUGCACUUUCUCACAUGCAUGCAGCCAAUGAAAAGCAGGCAUGAAGUGUAUUAAUUUUUCAGCCAUGGCACCAACAACAAUGGCUUUCAGUGCAACCAAUGAAAUGGUUGCAUGCAUGCACCUUUCCAAAGCAGAGCCUUAUAAAAAGGGACACGCUUGUGAUGCUGAGGGGCCUAAUAAACCCGGACGGAGGGAGUAAUUGGUAAUGUAGAAAAUAGUGGGAUUAUGUGUGUACGAUUUUAUACUUAGAUAUAUAGCAGACUAAAAUUAGGUUAAGCUUUAUUCAGAAAAUAAGUAAAUAGGUAAAGCUUUGCCUCCACCUUUUCUACCUCAUUCGAGGUUUCUUCUAUUCUACAGCUGAUCAAUGGCCUCCUAAAGAAAGAACAUGACCAACUUGGCACCUCCAAAUUCCAAGCUCAUUAUUCACAUUGUCGAUCACGUACUGGCGCACAUCACCUCCCCUAACACACAAAGCAAUCCGGUGUUUCCGAUCCACUCCCACUCGACCAACACCGCACAAAUGGUUGAAAUCGCCCCAAAAGAUGAUCCCCUUGCACAGAAUGGCCGGUGUCGGUACUGGCCGGUGUCGUCCACGACAUCCACGCACUCGUCAUUCUUGUAAUGUCUUGACUAAAAGGAUAAUAACUAAUUGUAUAUAUCUUGUAAUGUAAUACAGUGGAUUUUCAUUAUAGAGAAAUUAUUGACAAAAAUUAGCUGACCUAUCCAUUUGAGCGGAGAGAGCCAUUGUACCAAGUAUUAAAGCUUGGCAUAUAUAAGCAUAUGGUACAGUCUGCAGAUUCGAUCAUUAGGCCUCAAGAUUGUCCGAAUAGAUUGUUAUGUAGCCACGCACAACAAUCCGCCACCAUUACACGAGGCUUACUAACUGAUUUGGCUUGGAAGCUGAUCGAUCUGUUUCUUCUGAAUUAUUUCAUAUUCUCCGUUUAAUAGCCCACCAGUUAAUUAAUCUCUCAUUGCUUCCUUAUUUAUCUCUCAGGUACAAAAAUAAGGGAAAAUGGCAACAAAGUGGCAGCCACCAAUUGCGCACACGCGCACAGACAGCAAACAACACAGGACUUUGGAUGGACGGGUACCUCUCGCACUUAUACCUCCCUCUCCCGCUGGAAAUGUAGUUUAUGGACUGAAAAUUGAACAAAAGAGAAUCAAAAAAUAUUAGCUUAAUUUCGAUGAAUAUAGAUCUUGGUCCCUUUUGAAGGCCAACUACUAAGAUAGCGGUGCACGAAGAACACCAUGGUUUCCAUGGCUUUCUCGAAAGGGACACAACACUAUAAUAGUGAAAACAUGAGGUGUUAUUCUAUAGAAAUAAUAUAGAUAGAAGAACCAAGCAUGCUCCUUUCCUGUGUACACAGUAGGGUGUUGUUUCUUCUCAUCAAAAUAAAACCCACCAAAAAAGGAGAAAGAAGAUGAAUACCACAGCUGGUAACUUGGACACACAUCAAAUAUAGUACUGGUAUAAUUUAAAGCAUAGUAAAGCUUGAUAAAUUAAAAUUAGAAUUUUGCAAACAACAUGCAGAUUGAAGUAUCAUUUAAAAUGAGUGAAUUAUUUGUAGAUAUGUACUUUGUAGGUACAGAUAUCUUUCUCGAAAAUACAUUCCAUUAUUGGGAAGUAUCAAAGUGUGUACAACAAUGGAGACACCCGUAAAAAUGCAGUAAAAGAUCGUGUAUCCUCUACCUUCAGGACUGCAGAGGGUAAAAAAGAACAGGAGCCUGAAUCAUGAAAGGCAUUAUUAUGCAGUAUGCUCUCAUAAUAAUAGAGAAAGAGAAGAUGCUGAUGUCCUUACAUUUUUUAGUCAGUUUGACCUUUCUUGUUAAUCUGGAAAUGAAGCAUCAGUUGUUGUAUCAUAACCAAUGGAGAACACCCCUAGGCAACAGAAAAUGAUGAUUACAAACUAAUUGCAGGCACACUGUUAUAAAAUCAUCAUAAUAUGCAAUAUCAGAAGUACUCCCUCCGUUCCAAAAUAGAUGACUCAACUUUGUACUAACAUUAGUACAAAGUUGAGUCAUCUAUUUUGGAACGGAGGGAGUAUAUUUAAAAUGUUUGAAGGAGGUACCAUUGAUGACACAAAUUUGCAGCAGUAGAACAUGUGAGAGCCAUUCAGCCACCGGAAAGCUUUGCAUAAUCUAAUUCCAUCGUUUCUUGACAUCCUCACAGAUUGCUCAUGUGCACAAUCUCAGUCACAAAAUACAUUGGAAGUUGGAAGUAGGAAGUAGGAAGCAGGGUAGGUGACCUGUGUUGAGUUGGGGGAUAUCAACAAUGAGCUCGUCGUUGCUCAGUGCGGAAUAUGCUGACCAUAAGAGGUCAACUGCGGUCUAUAUUUUUCAAACAGUACUGGAUCAUUCUUGCAGGCAGGGGAAUAAGGAUGCUGGGUUGAUGCUAUUCAAGAAGGAAAAGGCGGAGGUCAUCGCGAGCCUUUAGGAGAUGGGCGUUCCCGUGGGACAAGCUCGCGACCACGCCGCGCUGCUCCUGCGCCGACUGAGGCAGAGGGGGAGGAGGAACACGUCAACAAGCAGAAAGAAAUCGAAAUCGAAGCCGGCCGAAUUGGCGGAGGGAGGCGGGCGGGCGCAGAUCUCGCGGCCCGGCGGCUCACCUUGUCCUGCGCGCUAGCCUUGGCCUCGUCCUCCGCCGCUACUGCCUGGUCGUGCUCGUCGUCCUCGGGGGUGUCCAGGCUGGCGGCGCCCUCGCUCCUAUCGUCAUAUGGCGCGGGCUUCUCGGCCGGCGGCGCCACCGGGACCUUCCUCGACCGGCGCCGGCCCCACGAUGGGAUCUCCGGCCGCGCCUGCUGCUGCUGCGGGCGGCGGCGGCGGCGGCGGCGGUUGCUGGGGGCACUUGGGGUAGGCAGUCCGGCGGCGCGCCGCGGUGGAGGGGCAGCAGCGUGCGGCGACGGGAGGCGGGCUGGCGGCGCGCCGGCGGGGCGGGGCAAGAGGUGGCGGCGCGC
rnacentral:lncRNA from 1 species